ACCUGCUCCCGGAUCAGGUGAUAAAAUUUAUAAACAUAUCCUAAUACCCCAAAACACCCAAGGCCUCUUGGCUUUUUGUUUGAAAAAUGCUCUUUCGCUUAUCAAUCUACCCAUGGACCUGCUGUGCAUUAGCUAGUUGGCAGCGUAACGGCGUACCGAAGCGAUGAUGCAUAUGCCAAGUUGAUAGACCGCUCUGCCACAAUGGAACUGACACACCGCCCAUACUCCUACGGGAGGCGGCAUUAUCGAAUCUUCCACCAUGUCCGCUAGCCUGAUGCAGCAACACCGCGUAAGUGAAUAAGGGUUUCAGCUCCUAAUGCUCUAUUAUUGUAGACGACCGUGCGUCAGAUUACCUGUUCACGCAGUGACAGUAUCCAACCACAAAGUCACGGCUAACUACAUGCCAGCAGCCACGUUAGUACCUAGGUUGCACGCGUUAUCCGGAUUUAUUGGGCAUAAAACGAGCGCAUGCAGUUGCUUAGGUCUGAUGUGAAAGCCUUCGGCUUAACUGAACAAGUGCAUCGGAAACCUGACUACUUGAGUGCAGAAUAGGACUCUGUAACUCCCUGUGUAACGCUGGAAUGCAUAGAUAGAUGGAACAACACCAGUGGCGAAGCGGCUGUCUUGUCAAAAAUAAGGCUGAGGCUCGAACAGAUGGGUAGCGAAGAGGAUCAGAUACCC
rnacentral:rRNA from 1 species